rnacentral:rRNA from 1 species
UGCAGAGGGUGCAAGCGUUAAUCGGAAUUACUGGGCGUAAAGGGCGCGUAGGCGGCUUGAUAAGUCAAAGGUGAAAUCCCUCGGCUCAACUGAGGAACUGCCUUUGAAACUGUCUGGCUUGAGGCCGGGAGGGGGUAGCGGAAUUCCCAGUGUAGCGGUGAAAUGCGUAGAUAUUGGGAGGAACACCGGUGGCGAAGGCGGCUACCUGGACCGGUUCUGACGCUGAUGCGCGAAAGCGUGGGUAGCAAACAGG